rnacentral:rRNA from 1 species
AUUGAACGCUGGCGGCAGGCUUAACACAUGCAAGUCGAGCGGAGUGAUGGUGCUUGCACUAUCACUUAGCGGCGGACGGGUGAGUAAUGCUUAGGAAUCUGCCAUUUAGUGGGGGACAACAUUCCGAAAGGAAUGCUAAUACCGCAUACGUCCUACGGGAGAAAGCAGGGGAUCUUCGGACCUUGCGCUAAAUGAUGAGCCUAAGUCGGAUUAGCUAGUUGGUGGGGUAAAGGCCUACCAAGGCGACGAUCUGUAGCGGGUCUGAGAGGAUGAUCCGCCACACUGGGACUGAGACACGGCCCAGACUCCUACGGGAGGCAGCAGUGGGGAAUAUUGGACAAUGGGCGGAAGCCUGAUCCAGCCAUGCCGCGUGUGAAGAAGGCCUUUUGGUUGUAAAGCACUUUAAGCGAGGAGGAGGCUCUCCUAGUUAAUACCUAGGAAGAGUGGACGUUACUCGCAGAAUAAGCACCGGCUAACUCUGUGCCAGCAGCCGCCGUAAGAC